UUUUAAUAAUAUUUAGAGAAUAUAAUGGUUUGCUUUAUAUAAUGGUAAUUUAGAGAAUCUAAUUGUUCUUUUCAGGCCUCGUAUAAAGAAUUCGUUGCAGAUGCACAGAUCAGCGCAUCUCGUGCCUGCAAAACGUCCGUCGCUAAUCUAUCGCAAUCAUUUGACAAAGCCAUUGACUCUCUUCGAAACCGUUUUGGAAUUUCGUCAACUUAGCCAAAGAUGCUAACAGACAGCUAAACAAGGCAAAUGGCAGUAUGCGUUCGGUGGACUAUGCUCAAGAACUGUUUUCGUAUCUAACAUUUGGACUUGGAAUUUGACAUGGACUGUGCCAAGAUUUGCUGGAUCACAUUGCUUUUCCAAAUUUUGAACAUUUUCUUUCUUGAACUGAUUGUCCUCCGCAUAGUAUUUGAUACAUGAAAAUAUAAGAAAGAAUCAGACGGAUUUUAGCAAAUUGUGCUACGUACAUCGGCAAUGAAUCUCCACUUUCUUUUAA